CACUAUCGUUAACUGAAUACAUAGGUUAACGAGGCGAACCGGGGGAACUGAAACAUCUAAGUACCCCGAGGAAAAGAAAUCAACCGAGAUUCCCCCAGUAGCGGCGAGCGAACGGGGAGCAGCCCAGAGUCUGAAUCAGCUUGUGUGUUAGUGGAACGGUCUGGAAAGUCCGACGGUACAGGGUGAUAGUCCCGUACACCAAAAUGCACAGGUUGUGAACUCGAAGAGUAGGGCGGGACACGUGGUAUCCUGUCUGAAUAUGGGGGGACCAUCCUCCAAGGCUAAAUACUCCUGACUGACCGAUAGUGAACCAGUACCGUGAGGGAAAGGCGAAAAGAACCCCGGCGAGGGGAGUGAAAAAGAACCUGAAACCGUGUACGUACAAGCCAGUGGGAGCACCUUCGGGUGUGACUGCGUACCUUUUGUAUAAUGGGUCAGCGACUUAUAUUCUGUAGCAAGGUUAACCGUAUAGGGGAGCCGCAGGGAAACCGAGUCUUAACUGGGCGUUAAGUUGCAGGGUAUAGACCCGAAACCCGGUGAUCUAGCCAUGGGCAGGUUGAAGGUUGGGUAACACUAACUGGAGGACCGAACCGACUAAUGUUGAAAAAUUAGCGGAUGACUUGUGGCUGGGGGUGAAAGGCCAAUCAAACCGGGAGAUAGCUGGUUCUCCCCGAAAGCUAUUUAGGUAGCGCCUCGUGAAUUCAUCUUCGGGGGUAGAGCACUGUUUCGGCUAGGGGGUCAUCCCGACUUACCAACCCGAUGCAAACUACGAAUACCGAAGAAUGUUAUCACGGGAGACACACGGCGGGUGCUAACGUCCGUCGUGAAGAGGGAAACAACCCAGACCGCCAGCUAAGGUCCCAAAGUCAUGGUUAAGUGGGAAACGAUGUGGGAAGGCACAGACAGCCAGGAUGUUGGCUUAGAAGCAGCCAUCAUUUAAAGAAAGCGUAAUAGCUCACUGGUCGAGUCGGCCUGCGCGGAAGAUGUAACGGGGCUAAACCAUGCACCGAAGCUGCGGCAGCGACACUAUGUGUUGUUGGGUAGGGGAGCGUUCUGUAAGCCUGCGAAGGUGUGCUGUGAGGCAUGCUGGAGGUAUCAGAAGUGCGAAUGCUGACAUAAGUAACGAUAAAGCGGGUGAAAAGCCCGCUCGCCGGAAGACCAAGGGUUCCUGUCCAACGUUAAUCGGGGCAGGGUGAGUCGACCCCUAAGGCGAGGCCGAAAGGCGUAGUCGAUGGGAAACAGGUUAAUAUUCCUGUACUUGGUGUUACUGCGAAGGGGGGACGGAGAAGGCUAUGUUAGCCGGGCGACGGUUGUCCCGGUUUAAGCAUGUAGGCUGGUUGUCCAGGCAAAUCCGGAUAAUCAAGGCUGAGGUGUGAUGACGAGGCACUACGGUGCUGAAGUAACAAAUGCCCUGCUUCCAGGAAAAGCCUCUAAGCAUCAGGUAACAUUAAAU
rnacentral:rRNA from 1 species